rnacentral:tRNA from 1 species
GCCCGUGCGCGGCCUGGCUAGGGUGAGGCCGACGUUGAUCGCCGAUGUGCGGAGUGCGGGGGUGCCGGGUGCGGUCCGAGGCCGCGAUACGGGUACC